AACGUAGGUGGCGAGCGUUAUCCGGAUUUACUGGGCGUAAAGCGUGUGCAGGCGGGGAGACAAGUGGUGUAUGAAAUUUCCCGGCUUAACCGGGAAGGGUUAUGCCAGACUGUCUUUCUGGAGUGCGAGAGAGGGGCGUGGAAUUCCGGGUGUAGUGGUGAAAUGCGUAGAGAUCCGGAAGAACACCGGUGGCGAAGGCGGCCUGCUGGGCAGUGGCUGACGCUGAGGCGCGACAGCGUGGGGAGCAAACAGG
rnacentral:rRNA from 1 species